rnacentral:rRNA from 1 species
UACGGAGGGUGCGAGCGUUGUCCGGAAUCACUGGGCGUAAAGGGCGCGUAGGCGGCCUGAUAAGUAGGGGGUGAAAUCCUGCGGCUUAACCGCAGGGCUGCCUUCUAAACUGUCAGGCUAGAGCACAGUAGAGGCAGGUGGAAUUCCCGGUGUAGCGGUGGAAUGCGUAGAGAUCGGGAAGAACAUCAGUGGCGAAGGCGGCCUGCUGGGCUGUUGCUGACGCUGAGGCGCGACAGCGUGGGGAGCAGACAGG